UUAUGGAGUUGGAGAGAAGCACCAAAGCGUUCACCAAGAAGAAGAGUUCACAUCGCUUGACCAAGAUCAUUACAUCCAUCCUUCUACCGCUGUUAAUUCUCAUACUUAUUCAAUCUCAAGCUUCCCCUUUCAACACUCCUUCCACAUCUGCUUCAUGGGCUUUCUUCAACAAAUGGAAAGGAUUAGCAUUUAAUACCACUGACGGUCUUGCUUUCGCCGAGAACUCCAAUAGCUUGAUCUCAAAGCUCCAAGACUCAGUCACCUUCUUCCCCCUUAAAGAUCUAAGGUUCGCCAAAAAUGCCAUGGAAGGGAACACUUGGUUUAUGAGCUCCUUAAAUGACACCCGUGGGGCAAAUGAAGCUGAGUACCUAUAUUUCCCUUCAGAAAUGUCCAAGGGAAGGCUUUUAUGCAUCAAGGGAAAUGACAUGAAGGAGGGCACCAGGAAUUCAUAUGCCUUGGCAUGGCCAGAAGCUCUUCCAGACACCGCCAAGCUCAUGGAAGGCUUGACCUUUGUGUCAGACACAUACUAUGAUUAUGUGAAUUUGUGGCAUGGAUUGUGUGCUAUGGCCCCAUUUGUUAGUUGGUCUAUAAAUAAUAAUUGCCCGAGGCCAACAAGGUGGGUACUAUUCCACUGGGGAGAGCUGAGGUCUAAGAUGGGAUCAUGGCUACAACACCUGAUGGAAGCUAACUUUGGAGCAGUUAAAAUAGAGGGACUUGAAGAAGGAGAUCGAAUUUACUGCUUCGAGAAAGCGGUUGUGAUGAGGCAUAAUGAGGGAAGUAUGGGGAAGGAAAAGAAGCUUCAGGUUUCUGAUCUGCUGAGAUGUAAAGCAAGGAGAUUUUGUGGGAUAUACCCAUCAGGUAAAGGAAAAGAGGUCAAUGAAAGAGGGGAACCAAUAAUAAAGCUAACAUUGCUCAUGAGGAGGGGUUCAAGAUCAUUCAAGAAUGCUACAGCAGUGAUUGAUAUAUUUGCAAGGGAGUGCGCAAAAGUGGAGGGCUGCACAUUGAGGGUGGCUGAGUCCGAGGAUCUAAAUUUCUGUGACCAGGUAAGAGUAAUGACCCACACCGACAUUGUUGCAUCCCCACACGGUGCUCAACUGACAAACAUGCUAUUCAUGGACAGAAACAGUAGCGUUAUGGAGUUCUUCCCUAAAGGAUGGUUAGAGCUUGCGGGCAUAGGUCAGUAUGCACAUCAUUGGAUGGCAGACCAAUCUGGGAUGAUUCACCAAGGCUCAUGGUGGGAACCAUUGGGCAAAAAGGAAUGCCCCUCUCCUCAACAGGAUCUUGAGUGCUUCAACUUCUACAAAGAUGGGAAGGUGGGUCACAAUGAAACCCAUUUUGCAGAGUGGGCAAGAAAUGUUCUCAACCAAGUAAAAGCCAGGAAAAUGGAAGAUGCCAUUAAGAGUUACAUCGACAAGCCACUGCCACACUCAACAGCCUGCGCAUGCUAGUAUAUUUGUUAAAUUUAUCAUUUUACAAGUUGUAUUAGUAAAAGCUUAAUUGCAUGGAAUAUAGCUUUGUUUAUACAUCAACCAGAAAUCAGGCUUAGUGAUAAUCUCUCUUUGCUACCCAAUAUCUAGGAUUUUAACUAUAUCAAAAACUAAUGUUAAAUAAAGAAGCUAAUGUGAAGAUUUUACAAAUGGAUUCUCCAUUUCAACUCCCAAAUCCGAAUCUACCCAUGGAAUACCCAUUGAUCUGGACAUUUUUUCAGUGGCCAACAGUAAUACCUCAUCUUCUGGAUAAUUUGGACCACAUGUAGACAACAAAGAAACAAAACAGUGCAAAAAGAACCACAUGGACAACAUGGCUUCCACCAUUCUUAAUAAUGCUUCUGUUCAAUUUCCUUAUGUUGUUCUUCACACCUGCUUGAGCUUUUAUCACUGUCAUUUGCUGUUAUGUCGCAAAAUUGAGCUCUCAGAAAACAGUUGCAGCUUUUUACAAGCAAAAAAAUAAAGGCAAAUAGCAUUAUUUCUAAAACAUAAAAGCUCCAAAUAGUGAGCACGCCCUCAUCACAAACUUUACACAACAAUGUUCUACACAGAGUCACAGACUACAGCUUUAGGAUGAUACAAGCACUCUUAUUCCUAUUUCCUAGAUGCUAACAGCUACCAACAUUCCCCCUUUAUUUUAUUCAUUUCCUUUCCAGUAAUCAAAAUGCCAAUAUUUAAAAAUUGAUGCAUAGAUAUAAUGGUAACAUUUAAUAGGGGAAGACUUGAGUUGAUAACCUCCUCUGCAGAGUGCAAAUAGAAGUGUGUGGCUGCCUAAGCCACCAACAGAAGUUCUAAUUUCACAAUAUCAUGUGCUGACCCAAAAGUUCAGAGAUAUUAACCACCCUCUCCUUACCUUAUUGACUUUUCAUGUUGUGGAUCACUAAUGCUUUGUUUCAAACUCAAAAAAGUAGUGUUUCAACAUAGUUAUUCAAAUAGAAAUAUGACAACACUGUAAUUACAAUAAAGAGCAAACUUUAAAAACGGAAGGCAGUAAAAUUUACUCAAAGAUAAUAUAGAAUUGCAACACAAAAUCAAGAAACCACAUGCCAAUUGGAAACUUUACCAGCUUAUCCAAGAAAUCCUUCUGGAACUUUGCUUCUGUCCCUAUCUCUUGUGCCACCUACAGCAUAUACUUGUAUAAGAACUAACAGAGCAAAAUAAAAUCUAAAGAAAACUUUCAAAAUUUUAAUAAUGAUAUUGUUAAGAUUAGACGGCAGAAUAAAUAUUCACAGAUGUUAAGUCUCAUGUGAAAGCAAGUAGGAAGUAGAGAGAAAUAUGUAAAUAAAUGUAAUAUAAAGCAUAAAGCUCACAGAGUAACAGAAUCUUCAUACACAUAAAAGUGAGGGAUUUUCAGUUGGUAGAGAUGUGAUUCAAUAAGAUUAAUUUGAUUCACCAUUUAAGUCCGAAAAAAAGGAUUAUGCAUUACAUCUCUGGCAACGUUUUCUGAACAACUUCUCCAUAUAAGCAGAUAAUAUAACAUAACUCACCGUGAAACAUGAGAAUUAACUUUAACCUGAUAUUGUUUCAAGUUAACUGGAAGUAUUAUACAAAAAUUAAAAAAGAAAAUGAAAAAAGAAGAAGAAGAAAGAAAGCACGAAAGCAAAUUACAAGAAAGGGGGAAAAAGAAAU
rnacentral:misc_RNA from 1 species